UUCUGCUCAACGAGGACGUCGACCAUUUUCUUGCCUUCGGUGGUAGACUGGUACAAAGUCUCCUCAAAUAGGAUUGCGCCCGAGAUGUACUGCCCGAGUCCAGGUGCAGACACCAACAAAGUCCGGAAAGCUUGACGGUUUGCCUCAGUGUUCUCUAGCCCUAUCGAAUCCAAACGUUUCCCGCAAGUCGCGUUCGACUCGUCCAUCGCCAAGAUUCCGCGUCCGGGAGACGCAAUAGUUUUCUACUCCAGCCAAAAUUAAAAGAAUAAACUGAAAUCUCAUUUUUCCUUUGUUAACACGACUGUCACGAUUUUAUCUUCUAUACACGAAUAACUGUAACUAAAAUCAAAACCUUGAUACAUUUUGAAUCAUAGUAUAACCUAAAUCUAAAUCAAAAUUGAAACUAAACAUCUAAAGGGUAAAGUCGGUUUAAAUUGGUUAUGAAAAAAAAGUAGAAACAGGGGAAAACAGAACAACAGAAUCUAGACAUUCCAAUUCAAAAAGGUGAAAAGUGCACUUUACGAAUCAUGCAGAUAAAACACGUGGUAAAGAAG
rnacentral:lncRNA from 1 species